rnacentral:rRNA from 1 species
UUAAUUCGAUGCAACGCGAAGAACCUUACCAGGUCUUGACAUCCCACGAAUUCAUCUGAAAGGAUGGAGUGCCUUCGGGAGCGUGGAGACAGGUGGUGCAUGGUUGUCGUCAGCUCGUGUCGUGAGAUGUGGGUUAAGUCCCGCAACGAGCGCAACCCUUGCUAUUAGUUGCUAACAGGUAGAGCUGAGCACUCUAAUGGGACUGCCGGUGACAAGCCGGAGGAAGGUGGGGAUGACGUCAAAUCAUCAUGCCCUUUAUGACCUGGGCUACACACGUGCUACAAUGGAUGGUACAGAGAGCAGCGAGGCAGCGAUGUGGAGCGAAUCUCAAAAAGCCAUUCUCAGUUCGGAUUGGAGUCUGCAACUCGACUCCAUGAAGUCGGAAUCGCUAGUAAUCGCGAAUCAGCAUGUCGCGGUGAAUGCGUUCCCGGGCCUU